GACAUUGACACCGACAACCUGACCUACGGAAUGCCUCACCUCACCCAAUCGGAACAGAGUGCCUUCUUCUACUAUAGUGGGUACAUCGUAUCACGUGUCCUCAAGAAUAAUGUUACAUGUGAACAGUGCCGAAGUGUCCUAACUACAAAAAAUGUGACUUCAGCUGCAAGUGUUUUUACUACAAGCAAGUGUUACACACCUGGAGCUCUAGUGUAUCCUUCUGACAGGGUGUACAACAUGCUACUGACAUGUGAAGACUGUUUUGUGAAGAUGAUUGUACAGUGCAUGGACAAAGAAAACAUUGUUAUGACCCUUCAAGGCAUAAUGAUGGAUGCCACAGCAGAAGUGAACAUACCUAGCUGCCAUCAUGUGAAAGAGAAACUGAUCAAGAGGUUCUGCCAUGCUCGCUUGCAACUGCAUUUGUCAGACCUCAGCAAGAAAAGCAACACAAAAUCGAAAGACAUGGGAAGUAAGAGCAUGUGUGCUCCAAGACGCCAUAAGUGAACCUGUAUUGACAGAACUGUCUGCAGUCCCUGUGGCUGCAGAACAAAAAUGUGAUGCGAUAAGUCUUUAUAUGUGCUUUAUUUGUGUGAGAAAUGGACUCACUUGUAAAUAUCCCUUUAUAAUUAUUGCAUACAUGUGACAGUGUUUUUGUGAGAAAUGGACUCACUUGUAAAUAUCGCUUUAUAAUUAUUGCGUACAUGUGACAGUGUUUUUGUGAGAAAUGGACUCUCUUGUAAAUAGCCCUUUAUAAUUAUUGCGUACAUGUGACUGUGUUUUUGUGAGAUGUGGACUCACUUGUAAGUAUACCUUUUUCACUAUUUAUAUACCAAGCAAGAGUGUAAAUUUUGUAGUGUUAUAUAUGUGUCUUCCUUGUGUACCCUCACCUUGAAGUGGUAAGGGAGCUUGUGUGCUUCUGUGAAUCUGUGGGCUCAGCCAACUAAGGGCCACCCAUGUUGGAAAGGUCACAGCUGAGGAGCCAGACCAAGAAGGGUACAAAAUAUAUGCAGAAAAUAAAAGUUGUAGGCAGUGCA